CAGCCGCCGCGGGAAUACGUAGGGCGCAAGCGUUAUCCGGAAUUAUUGGGCGUAAAGAGCUCGUAGGCGGUUUGUCGCGUCUGCCGUGAAAGCCCGGGGCUCAACCUCGGAUCUGCGGUGGGUACGGGCAGACUAGAGUGAUGUAGGGGAGAGUGGAAUUCCUGGUGUAGCGGUGAAAUGCGCAGAUAUCAGGAGGAACACCGAUGGCGAAGGCAGGUCUCUGGGCAUUAACUGACGCUGAGGAGCGAAAGCAUGGGGAGCGAACAGGAUUAGAUACCCCCGUAGUCCCUGUCUCUUAUAC
rnacentral:rRNA from 1 species